GGGUCAAUGAUGAGAACCUUAUAUUGUCCUGAAGAGAGGUGAUGACUUAAAAAUCGUGCUCAAUAGGAUUACUCUGAGGCCC
ensembl:snoRNA SNORD115 Small nucleolar RNA SNORD115